CUGGGCCGCUGGGGCCCUGGCUCAGGCCCCAGGCCGUCUGGCAGGAGCCAGUCCCAGAACCCCUCUUCCCCUGGGGGGCAGCAGCUGCUAGGUCCUCAGAGGCGCUGGGAUCCGACAGCCCAGUACCUGGGAGCCAGGGCCUGCCCAGCGGCCUUCCUUCCUGGCCAACAGCUGCCUGCGUGCAGCCCCUCUCCCGAGGAUCUGUGUGGCCAUUCAUCACAGGCCUCCUCUUGGAAAGGCAAAGAAGGUUGCAUUAUACUAGGGAUUGAUUAGUACUCGUUGACCUAGUAUGGCAUCUGCGGUGCACUUCCUAGUGGAGGAUUUGUGUCUCUCCUUAACCUGGAACAUCCUCACCUGAAUUUGCCACCAAUCUCAUUCUCAACCAUCUAUGAGGUAUGUGGUGGAGCUCUUCCAUCAGUUUUUUAAGUUUCUUAACUGCUCUCACAGUUUUUAUUCUGUUUAUCUCUUGAAGAUGCAUCCCGGG
rnacentral:lncRNA from 12 species